rnacentral:rRNA from 1 species
UACGGGGGGAGCAAGCGUUGUUCGGAUUUACUGGGCGUAAAGGGCGCGUAGGCGGCCACCGCAAGUCAAUUUGAAAUCUCCGGGCUUAACUCGGAAAGGUCAACUGAUACUGCGGGGCUAGAGUGCGGAAGGGGCAACUGGAAUUCUCGGUGUAGCGGUGAAAUGCGUAGAUAUCGAGAGGAACACCUGCGGCGAAGGCGGGCUGCUGGGCCGACACUGACGCUGAGGCGCGAAAGCCAGGGGAGCGAACGGG